AUUGAACGCUGGCGGCAUGCCUUACACAUGCAAGUCGAACGGUAACGGGCCUUCGGGUGCCGACGAGUGGCGCACGGGUGAGUAAUACAUCGGAACGUGCCCGAUCGUGGGGGAUAACGAGGCGAAAGCUUUGCUAAUACCGCAUACGAUCUACGGAUGAAAGCAGGGGACCGCAAGGCCUUGCGCGGACGGAGCGGCCGAUGGCAGAUUAGGUAGUUGGUGGGAUAAAAGCUUACCAAGCCGACGAUCUGUAGCUGGUCUGAGAGGAUGAUCAGCCACACUGGGACUGAGACACGGCCCAGACUCCUACGGGAGGCAGCAGUGGGGAAUUUUGGACAAUGGGCGCAAGCCUGAUCCAGCCAUGCCGCGUGCAGGAUGAAGGCCUUCGGGUUGUAAACUGCUUUUGUACGGAACGAAAAGCCUUCUUUUAAUACAGGAGGGUCAUGACGGUACCGUAAGAAUAAGCACCGGCUAACUACGCG
rnacentral:rRNA from 1 species